rnacentral:lncRNA from 1 species
GGGCAAUAAGACACUGACCGUGAACUGAAAAUAAGUGGUAAAUCCUAACUCUGUCAGGUCAUUACCGUGGAGAUGGCAAGACAGAUGGACACAGCAUCAGUGGGCAAUGUUAAGGCCAGAUCAGAGAGGUGGUGUAGCAACUUCUUCUCUAACUCAGGAUCUGUAGCUAAUUCAGGAACUGCUGAAGCUGUGCUGGGCUUAGGGCCACCAGAGGUGGGUGCAGUAGGCACUGGGCUGUCACUACGGAAGGUUGGAGACAAUGCUGCCUCUGGAUUCCGUAGAUCUAAGAAUGAAGAGAAGUGAA